GCGUGAGUGGUGGAAUGGUAGACACGCCAGUUUUAGGAGCUGGUGCCGCAAGGCAUGGAGGUUCAAGUCCUCUCUCACGCACCA
rnacentral:tRNA from 1 species